GACGAACGCUGGCGGCGUGCCUGAUACAUGCAAGUCGAGCGGACAGAUAAGGAGCUUGCUCCUUUGAAGUCAGCGGCGGACGGGUGAGUAACACGUGGGCAACCUGCCUAUAAGACUGGGAUAACUCCGGGAAACCGGGGCUAAUACCGGAUAGAUUCUUUCCUCUCAUGAGGAAAGAAGGAAAGAUGGUUUCGGCUAUCACUUAUAGAUGGGCCCGCGGCGCAUUAGCUAGUUGGUAAGGUAACGGCUUACCAAGGCGACGAUGCGUAGCCGACCUGAGAGGGUGAUCGGCCACACUGGGACUGAGACACGGCCCAGACUCCUACGGGAGGCAGCAGUAGGGAAUCUUCCGCAAUGGACGAAAGUCUGACGGAGCAACGCCGCGUGAACGAAGAAGGCCUUCGGGUCGUAAAGUUCUGUUGUUAGGGAAGAACAAGUACGAUAGUAACUGAUCGUACCUUGACGGUACCUAACCAGAAAGCCACGGCUAACUACGUGCCAGCCGCCGCAGUAA
rnacentral:rRNA from 1 species